GUGCAGCAGUCGAGAAUCUUCGGCAAUGGGCGCAAGCCUGACCGAGCGACGCCGCGUGCGGGAUGAAGGCCUUCGGGUUGUAAUCCGCUGUCAGAGGGGAGGAAAUGGCGGCCCUCAGGGUCGUCUUGACCAAACCUCAGAGGAAGGACGGGCUAAGUUCGUGCCAGCAGCCGCGGUAAGACGAACCGUCCAAACGUUAUUCGGAAUUACUGGGCUUAAAGGGUGCGUAGGCGGCCUGGCAAGUUGGGUGUGAAAGCCCUCGGCUCAACCGAGGAAUUGCGCCCAAAACUGCUAGGCUUGAGGGAGAUAGAGGUGAGCGGAACUUGGGGUGGAGCGGUGAAAUGCAUUGAUAUCCCAAGGAACACCAGAGGCGAAAGCGGCUCACUGGGUCUCUUCUGACGCUGAGGCACGAAAGCUAGGGGAGCGAACGGGAUUAGAUACCCCCGUAGUCC
rnacentral:rRNA from 1 species